rnacentral:rRNA from 1 species
UACGUAGGGCGCAAGCGUUAUCCGGAAUUAUUGGGCGUAAAGAGCUCGUAGGCGGUUUGUCGCGUCUGCUGUGAAAGUCCGGGGCUCAACUCCGGAUCUGCGGUGGGUACGGGCAGACUAGAGUGCUGUAGGGGAGACUGGAAUUCCUGGUGUAGCGGUGAAAUGCGCAGAUAUCAGGAGGAACACCGAUGGCGAAGGCAGGUCUCUGGGCAUUAACUGACGCUGAGGCGCGAAAGCCAGGGGAGCGAACGGG